rnacentral:rRNA from 1 species
CUACGGGUCGCUGCAGUGGGGAAUAUCGCACAAUGGGCGCAAGCCUGAUGCAGCCAUGCCGCGUGUAUGAAGAAGGCCUUCGGGUUGUAAAGUACUUUCAGCGGGGAGGAAGGGAGUAAAGUUAAUACCUUUGCUCAUUGACGUUACCCGCAGAAGAAGCACCGGCUAACUCCGUGCCAGCAGCCGCGGUAAUACGGAGGGUGCAAGCGUUAAUCGGAAUUACUGGGCGUAAAGCGCACGCAGGCGGUUUGUUAAGUCAGAUGUGAAAUCCCCGGGCUCAACCUGGGAACUGCAUCUGAUACUGGCAAGCUUGAGUGUCGUAGAGGGGGGUAGAAUUCCAGGUGUAGCGGUGAUAUGCGUAGAGAUCUGGAGGAAUACCGGUGGCGAAGGCGGCCCCCUGGACGAAGACUGACGCUCAGGUGCGAAAGCGUGGGGAGCAAACAGGAUUAGAUACCCUAGUAGUC